GACGAACGCUGGCGGCGCGCUUAACACAUGCAAGUCGAACGGAAAGGCCUGCUUUCCCUUUUGGAUUGCGGGUACUCGAGUGGCGAACGCGUGAGUAACACGUGAGUGAUCUGCCCCCAACUUGGGUAUAAGCCUGGGCAACUGGGUCUAAUUCCCGAUAGGACUGCAGGGUGGUGCCUGUGGUGGCAAACGUUUUUCUAGUGCUUGCGGAUGAGCGCGCGGCCUAUCAGCUGGGUGGUGGGGUAAUGGCCUACCAAGGCGGCGACUGGUAGCCGGCCUGGGAGGGUCGGCGGGCAAGGUGGAACUGAGAAACGGCGCAUACGCCUACGGGAGGCAGCAGUGGGGAGGCAGGCACGGGGGGCGUAGGCCAGAGGCAGCAACGCUGAGUGGGGAAUGACGGCCUUGGGAUGGCGGACUCCGUGCGGUCACGAGGAAGCCACCGGGUUGGAGGGGUAGUGACGGUAGUGGUAGAAGAAGCACCGGCUAACUACGUG
rnacentral:rRNA from 1 species